CAGUAGCCGCGGGAAUACGUAGGGUGCAAGCGUUAAUCGGAAUUACUGGGCGUAAAGCGUGCGCAGGCGGUUUGUUAAGACAGAUGUGAAAUCCCCGGGCUCAACCUGGGAACUGCAUUUGUGACUGGCAAGCUAGAGUGUGGCAGAGGGGGGUGGAAUUCCGCGUGUAGCAGUGAAAUGCGUAGAUAUGCGGAGGAACACCGAUGGCGAAGGCAGCCCCCUUGGCCAACACUGACGCUCAUGCACGAAAGCGUGGGGAGCAAACAGGAUUAGAUACCCCAGUAGUCCCUGUCUCUUAUCC
rnacentral:rRNA from 1 species